GGAUCUGAGGGUGAUCUGCCUGCGACAUCUGUCACCCCACUGAUCGCCAGGGUUGAUUCAGCUGAUCUGGUUGGCUAGGCGGGUGUCCACUUCCUCCCUCACUGCUCUAUUUGCAUCCCUCCUGAAGCUGUGCACUCGGUUGAAGGAAGAGGAUGGCCUUCCCCAAAUAGAGAGGACCGGUUGAGGGUAUACGAGUAGCUACACUCCCCUGCUAGAACAUCCAAACAAGCUCUCAAGAGUGAAUGAGAAGGAAGUAAAGAGGGAGGGGGGACAAAAUAGAAAUAACAGAACUAAGGAAGCUUAAACAUUUUCCAUGUCUAUCAACAUAUUUGUGCUUCUUCAU
rnacentral:snRNA from 1 species